rnacentral:rRNA from 1 species
CACUGGGGGAUACGUUACCUACGGCGAGUGAAGCGGUAAAAGCUCAAAUUUGAAAUCUGGUACUUUCAGUGCCCGAGUUGUAAUUUGUAGAAUUUGUCUUUGAUUAGGUCCUUGUCUAUGUUCCUUGGAACAGGACGUCAUAGAGGGUGAGAAUCCCGUUUGGCGAGGAUACCUUUUCUCUGUAAGACUUUUUCGAAGAGUCGAGUUGUUUGGGAAUGCAGCUCAAAGUGGGUGGUAAAUUCCAUCUAAAGCUAAAUAUUGGCGAGAGACCGAUAGCGAACAAGUACAGUGAUGGAAAGAUGAAAAGAACUUUGAAAAGAGAGUGAAAAAGUACGUGAAAUUGUUGAAAGGGAAGGGCAUUUGAUCAGACAUGGUGUUUUUUGCAUGCACUCGCCUCUCGUGGGCUUGGGCCUCUCAAAAAUUUCACUGGGCCAACAUCAAUUCUGGCAGCAGGAUAAAUCAUUAAGAAUGUAGCUACUUCGGUAGUGUUAUAGCUUUUUGGAAUACUGUUAGCCGGGAUUGAGGACUGCGCUUCGGCAAGGAUGUUGGCAUAAUGGUUAAAUGCCGCCCGUCUUGAAACACGGACCCA